rnacentral:rRNA from 2 species
UGGGGAAUAUUGCACAAUGGAGGAAACUCUGAUGCAGCGAUGCCGCGUGAGGGAAGAAGGUUUUAGGAUUGUAAACCUCUGUCUUCAGGGACGAAAAAAGGACGGUACCUGAGGAGGAAGCUCCGGCUAACUACGUGCCAGCAGCCGCGGUAAUACGUAGGGAGCGAGCGUUGUCCGGAAUUACUGGGUGUAAAGGGAGCGUAGGCGGGAUCGCAAGUCAGAUGUGAAAACUAUGGGCUUAACCCAUAAACUGCAUUUGAAACUGUGGUUCUUGAGUGAAGUAGAGGUAAGCGGAAUUCCUAGUGUAGCGGUGAAAUGCGUAGAUAUUAGGAGGAACAUCAGUGGCGAAGGCGGCUUACUGGGCUUUAACUGACGCUGAGGCUCGAAAGCGUGGGGAGCAAACAGGAUUAGAUACCCUGGUAGUCCACGCCGUAAACGAUGAUUACUAGGUGUGGGGGGACUGACCCCUUCCGUGCCGCAGCAAACGCAAUAAGUAAUCCACCUGGGGAGUACGACCGCAAGGUUGAAACUCAAAGGAAUUGACGGGGGCCCGCACAAGCAGUGGAGUAUGUGGAUUAAUUCGAAGCAACGCGAAGAACCUUACCAGGUCUUGACAUCGUAUGCAUAGCUCAGAGAUGAGUGAAAUCUCUUCGGAGACAUAUAGACAGGUGGUGCAUGGUUGUCGUCAGCUCGUGUCGUGAGAUGUUGGGUUAAGUCCCGCAACGAGCGCAACCCUUACUGUUAGUUGCUACGCAAGAGCACUCUAGCAGGACUGCCGUUGACAAAACGGAGGAAGGUGGGGAUGACGUCAAAUCAUCAUGCCCCUUAUGACCUGGGCCUCACACGUACUACAAUGGCUGUAAACAGAGGGAAGCAAAGCCGCGAGGUAGAGCGAACCCCUAAAAGCAGUCUUAGUUCGGAUUGUAGGCCGCAACCCGCCUACAUGAAGUCGGAAUUGCUAGUAAUCGCAGAUCAGCAUGCUGCGGUGAAUACGUUCCC